rnacentral:rRNA from 1 species
ACGAAGGGGGCUAGCGUUGUUCGGAAUUACUGGGCGUAAAGCGAGUGUAGGUGGUUUGCCAAGUUGGGUGUGAAAGCCUUGAGCUCAACUCAAGAAAUGCACUCAGUACUGGCAGACUAGAGGACCGGAGAGGAUAGUGGAAUUCCCAGUGUAGUGGUGAAAUACGUAGAGAUUGGGAAGAACACCAGUGGCGAAGGCGGCUAUCUGGACGGUUUCUGACACUAAGACUCGAAAGCGUGGGGAGCAAACAGGAUUAGAUACCCUGGUAGUCCACGCCGUAAACGAUGGGUGCUAGACGUUGGCGAGCUUGCUCGUCAGUGUCGCAGCUAACGCGUUAAGCACCCCGCCUGGGGAGUACGGCCGCAAGGUUG